UACGUAGGGUGCGAGCGUUAAUCGGAAUUACUGGGCGUAAAGCGUGCGCAGGCGGCUUGGUAAGACCGAUGUGAAAUUCCCGGGCUUAACCUGGGAACUGCAUUUGUGCCUGCCAGGCUAGAGUGCGGCAGAGGGGAGUGGAAUUCCGCGUGUAGCAGUGAAAUGCGUAGAUAUGCGGAGGAACACCGAUGGCGAAGGCAACUCCCUGGGCCUGCCCUGACGCUCAUGCACGAAAGCGUGGGGAGCAAACAGG
rnacentral:rRNA from 1 species